GACGAACGCUGGCGGCGUGCUUAACACAUGCAAGUCGAGCGGUAAGGCCCUUUCGGGGGGUACACGAGCGGCGAACGGGUGAGUAACACGUGGGUGACCUGCCCUCAGCUCUGGGAUAAGCCUGGGAAACCGGGUCUAAUACUGGAUAUGACUCCAUGACGCAUGUUGUGGGGUGGAAAGCCUUGUGCGGCUGAGGAUGGGCCCGCGGCCUAUCAGCUUGUUGGUGGGGNGAUGGCCUACCAAGGCGACGACGGGUAGCCGGCCUGAGAGGGCGACCGGCCACACUGGGACUGAGACACGGCCCAGACUCCUACGGGAGGGCAGCAGGUGGGGAAUCUUGCGCAAGUGGGACGAAAGCCUGACGCAGCGACGCCGCGU
rnacentral:rRNA from 1 species